rnacentral:tRNA from 1 species
AUCUAAGUAUUUUAUUAAAAAUUGGGAUUUGUGGAGUCUUAGAUGCAUAGUUUAUUAUGCCUUAGGUU